rnacentral:rRNA from 1 species
GACGAACGCUGGCGGCGUGCUUAACACAUGCAAGUCGAACGAUGAAGCCUUCGGGUGGAUUAGUGGCGAACGGGUGAGUAACACGUGGGUGAUCUGCCCUGCACUUUGGGAUAAGCCUGGGAAACUGGGUCUAAUACCGAAUAUGAUCAUGCUCUUCAUGGGGUGUGGUGGAAAGCUUUUGCGGUGUGGGAUGGGCCCGCGGCCUAUCAGCUUGUUGGUGGGGUAAUGGCCUACCAAGGCGACGACGGGUAGCCGGCCUGAGAGGGUGACCGGCCACACUGGGAAUGAGACACGGCCCAGACUCCUACGGGAGGCAGCAGUGGGGAAUAUUGUACAAUGGGCGCAAGCCUGAUGCAGCGACGCCGCGUGAGGGAUGACGGCCUUCGGGUUGUAAACCUCUUUCAGCAGGGACGAAGCGAAAGUGACGGUACCUGCAGAAGAAGGACCGGCCAACUACGUGCCAGCCGCCGCCGUAA